AUGAUUUUACAUUUAUCGCAAAACGUGUAUAUACAAAUAUUAAAAUAGUGUGAAGAAAUUGUGACAGACUCAGUUACGUCAGUUGCAGUGCUUCAUGGGAGUGGGCGGAACUAAAGUCUUAAUUUGCAGCAAUUUGCUCUGUUUGAUUCUCUGAUUGUUUGAGAUUUCAUUGCAGACUCAUGUGCAACGUAGUUUUUCACUAGAAAUUAAUUUGUUACAAUUAUUACAAAUAAAUAAUAAGUUGAAAUAAUGCAGGCUGAUGGCUUCAACAGAAUACAUGUGAGCGCGGUGACUCUUGAUGCACUGACUCCAGCUUCAGUUCUCUCCUUGUGAAGCUCUCCCAAGUGUUUGAAUCAGCUUUCCUGACAUUAUUCUCAAGCUUGCGUUCAUCCCUGUUGCUUGAGCACCUUUUCCUACCCAAUUUCUUUCUUCCUUCCAGUCAACUUUGCAUUUAAUAUGCUUUGAUACAGCACUCUGUGAACAGCCAGCCCUUUCAGUAAUGACCUUCUGUGAUUUACCCUCUUUGUGGAGGGUGUCAAUGAUUGUCUUCUGGAACAUUGCCACUUCAGCAGUCUUCUCUAUUAUUGUGGUUUCAAAGAACAAGAGAUACCCGGAAUUUAUAUUGUAGGGAUGGUCAUUUAAUGAAACUCAAAUGUAAAUAUUCUAAUAUUUUGAGAUACUAAUAUUUUUGACUUUCAUGAGCUGUAAGCUCUAAUCAUCAAAAUUAAAAAAAGAAAAAAAAAAAAACUUUUGAAAUUUUACUUUACAUGUAAUGGAUCUAGAAUAUGUGAAAGUUUCACCUUUUGAAAUAAGUCACAAAAAAAUAAUGAACUUUUUCACAAUAUUCAAAUUUUUUGAGAUGCACCUUGUUAUCAAUCAAUUUUGUUAUAAAGAAAGUGAAUGGGAUUAGUUCUUCCAGACCUGACUGUUGCAAUUGUUUCGUAAUAAUGACCUUCCCAUUAACAAGAAAACCUGUGACAAGUAUUAAAGUAAACGGAGUCCAUUGUGGUUUGAUGUUAAAGAGGUUUCUAGCACCCAAGAAUAACCCGUUUGAUUGUGAGCGCGAGCGUUUGGUUUUCUGGACAAGGCUUUUUCCACAGGCGCAGGUGAGCGUUUCUAAUUCUCCACAGCCCCAGCUCGUUACGCGUCUGUCAGUCAGCCGGAGCUGCGCCAGGCCCGCAGAGCUGUUUUGUGACGCUGUGAAAUUGAUAGUCUCCCUCCGCUCAACUCAUCCGGGCCUCCGCCGUCUGAGGCCAAUUCCAUUUUCCUCUUGGAGCGAAUGUCCUACCUGAGGCAGCAGAGCGGUGAAGAAGCCUUUCUCUGCCCCGCUGCUGCAUUCGCCGAUGUUCCGCUGUGACACGCUGCGAUGCUCCCAUUACACUAACGCAGACGACCCGGGGACAAACAUGGGACGACACAAUGAAGGCAAGGGACAUUACAGAAUAAUACAGAGAGAGAGAGAGAGAGAGUAAGAGAGAUCACCGCUAAACAAAAAUCAAGGUACAGUGGCACUUGGGAAAACCACGAUAGCAGGCUUACCUUUAAACAUUAAACCAUACCCAGUCCUAUAGGAUUAGCAUAUUAAUACGCUUCCAGGUUAUUACAUGAAAUCUAGUCUUUUCGUUUUAAAAAGACAUCGAAUGUCUUAAUGUUAAAGGGUUAGUUCACCCAAAAAUGAAAAUGAUCCUGUUAUUUACUCACACUCAAGCCAUCCUAGGUGUAUAUGACUUUCUUCUUUCAGACCAAUCCAAUCAGAGUCCACAGUCCAAAACAUGUAAAAUAAAGUGCGCAAAUCUAUAAAAAAACAUGACUUACACGGCUCCGGGGGGUAAAUAAAGGCCUCCUGUAGUGAAUCCAUGUGUUUUUGUAAGAAAAAAAAAAAUCCAUAUUUCAAACGUAAUAAACACAUCUCUCUCACUUCAUCUAUCUGUCAUAAGCGGAAGCUGUUCCGGCGGAUGACGUAGGACGUCGGUGUCACGUGAUUUUUUUUAUAUUAAAUAUUGGGGGUUUAAUGGGAAACUUAAGGCAUUCAAGUAUUCACCAUGUGUUUUUUUUUUUUGUUAAAAAAUCCAGGGAUGUGGCUAAAAUCAGACUCAAGUAAUGGACUUAAAACAUGUUGUGUUUUGGUAGUAAUGUGAAAGUGAAUAACAUUUUUUUUUUUUUUUAUAAAAACGUUUUAGUUUCAAAAUUUAAAAUUAAAACACACAAUAGAAUCUAAAACAUGUUCUUCCACAGAAGAACAAAACAACCAAAAGAGAUGUAAUUUAUUGUGACAGCUACGUGUAUCGUAACAUAUUCUUAGGAAAUUCCCAGUUCAUAAGUGCUUUUAAUCACUCUUUGUACUGUGUGACUGCAGUUUGGCCCGUAAAGUAACCUCAGUGCUGUUUGAAAGCGACAGAUCGUUCCUGCUUGUUUACGACAAACAUAAAGGAACAGCAUGAAUCAUAUUCUGAGAGAAAACAAUUAACCUUUAUUAAAAGCGGCUAAUUGCGCUCCUUCAUUACCCAUCAUGCACGAGUGGUGCUGAGAGGGGUGAAGGAGCGUCACCAUGGUAACCGCGUGUCAGAGUAAGUGACAGCACACCUGAGCGACGAGUGACAUUUACAGAAACACGCCUAACCAAACUGGCUUUCUCUUCUACGAUCACAGAGCGUGCGUCUGGAGUCGUCCCAGCAUGCUGUUUGGUCUCAGCUGGAAUAAUCGAUGGAAGAGAACGAGAGCGUCAAUCAGAAGUGGAAAUAUGAGAACUUUGGUCUUAUUCACAGUGGUGGAUACAUGCGACUCCCAGAAUGCAUUUCUCUGGUUAUCGGAAAAUACAGCAGCUCAUGCUAAGAGAAGAGCAGUGAUGUCUGUUAAGACUGGAGAGUACUCUAGAUGGAAGUAUGGAAAUAAUACAUACUUUACAUACUCAUAGAAAACACUGUCAUGGAAGGAGUUUUGCUUCAUUUUAUGUCAGUAUCUGCUGUACUGUUAUAAAGAUCGAUUUACAUUACAAACAUCAAAAUUGUAUCAUAGAAAUAUCAGCGUGUGCCCCAAAUUGCAUAUUUUAGCUCAGUUUGGGUUUCUGAAAAAAAUUAGGCAGAUUUUUUCCCCUCCAUAAUCUCACUAUAUCAGACUACAUGAACAAGACACUGUGUAUGUAUGUGUGUAUAUGUAUAUGUAUAUGUAUGUGUAUAUAUAUAUAUAUAUAUAUAUAUAUAUAUAUAUAUAUAUAUAUAUAUAUAUAUAUAUAUCAGUAUAUAUUAAACUUCAAACUGUUGCUUCUAGCUAAAAUAUGAGUCUAUAGUCCAUAAAAAGUGUUCUGGUGUGAAUCAGGAGAGAAAUCUGCAGAUCAAGCAGCAUUUACAAGACAAAACAGCUCUAAACUAAUAUGUGGCUGGAUUUUGAUGUGAGAGACAACAGGAGAUGCACUUUUUCACUUGAGGAAGCAUUAUUAUGGAUUAUGGACUCGUAUUUUAGUUAAAAAAAAAAAACACAUUAAUGCUGGAUUUGUUUCAGCUUUUGUCUUCUCCAGAUGUUAACUGAUGGACUGGAGUGCUGUGGAUUAUUGUGAUGUUUUUAUCAGCUGUUUGGACUCUCAUUCUGACGGCACCCAUUCACUGCAGAGCAUCCAUUGCUAAGACACUGAUGCAGAGACACACUUCUACAAACCUGAUGAAGAAACACACUCAUCCAAAUCUUGGAUGAUCUGAGGGAUUAUGAUCAGAGACUGGCGCCCACAGCAAACACAUUCACACAGAGCAGAUUAACCCUGGAGUCGGUGUUUAAGGUCGACUGCUGUCAUGGUGGAGCAACAGUUUGAAGGGAAUCUUGCUGAGUAAGUCAGAUUUUUAUGUCUCCAGCUAUCAGGUUUAAUGGCAUAGACAUUUGAAGGAAAUUUUAUCGUUCCCCUGAGAACGGAGGUUUAUUACCACCACAGUAACACGCAAACACAAGGUGUGCUUGCUAUAUACUGGACAAGCAUUCGCUGUGUUUCUUGCUGGAAAAACAUCACAAUGUUUAGUCAGACACUGCAAUGCAAUGACACUAUCUAAACUAAACUCAGCUUACAACUCCACUUAACUUGAGUUAACUUGAACAAGUUUAAAGAUGUACUGUAUGAGUGUUCAGUACUGUAGUACUCGAGACCAGACUCAUGGACUCAAAGAAGUCUUGAUUCUCGAACCAGAAAAAGUCGCUUAUAGUCUUUACCAAUACUUAAAAUGAUGAAAAUACAAAAUAAAUACAUGUCAUACAUAUAAUGUUAUACAUUGUGUGGCUUGAGGCAUGAUCAGCUUUAUUACU